rnacentral:lncRNA from 1 species
AAUGUGCCAUCUGGAAAACUGACUCAUCGUCUUCGUUUUUAUCGUUUAUUACUUUCCAAUUCCUCCUCCUUCGCUCCUCCCACUCCCAAAAUUUUAGAAUCAUCAGUGGUUCUUUCUCUCCCCAGUUCAGUCCAAGGCCAAGCUCUGCAGAACCCAGAGGGAGCAGCACGAGCAUCUCCUCCGCCACCCAUCUUGGGUGAGCGGGUGCAGACAGUCCCGCCUCAGACACGCCCGCCCCACGCGCCGCUCCCGCCUCAGACGCGCCCGCCCCACGGGCCGCUCCCGCCUCAGACACGCCCGCCCCACGCGCCGGUCCCUCCUCAGACACGCCGGCCCCACGCGCCGCUCCCUCCUCGGACACGCCCUCCGCACGCGCCGCUCCCGCCUCGGACACGCCCUCCGCACGCGCCGCUCCCGCCUCAGACGCGCCCGCCCCACGCGCCGCUCCCGCCUCAGACGCGCCCGCCCCACGCGCCGCUCCCGCCUCAGACACGCCCUCCGCACGCGCCGCUCCAGCCUCAGAGACGCCGGCCCCACGCGCCGCUCCCGCCUCAGACACGCCCUCCGCACCCGCCGCUCCAGCCUCAGACACGCCCUCCGCACGCGCCGCUCCCUGACACGCCCUCCGCACGCGCCCCUCCCUCCUCAGACACGCCCUCCGCACGCGCCGCUCCAGCCUCAGAGACGCCCGCCCCACGCGCCGCUCCCUCCUCAGACACGCCCUCCGUACGCUCCACGCCCUCCACACGCGCCGCUCCCUCCUCAGACACGCCCUCCGCACGCGCCACGCCCUCCACACGCGCCGCUCCCGCCUCGGACACGCCCGCCCCACGCGCCGCUCCCGCCUCGGACACGCCCUCCGCACGCGCCGCUCCCGCCUCGGACACACCGGCCCCACGCGCCGCUCCCUCCUCGGACACGCCCUCCGCACGCGCCGCUCCCGCCUCGGACACGCCCUCCGCACGCGCCGCUCCCUCCUCGGACACGCCCUCCGCACGCGCCGCUCCCGCCUCGGACACGCCCGCCGCACGCGCCGCUCCUCUCGGACACGCCCUCCGCACGCGCCGCUCCCGCCUCGGACACGCCCUCCGCACGCGCCGCUCCCUCCUCGGACACGCCCUCCGCACGCGCCGCUCCCUCCUCGGACACGCUCUCCGCACGCGCCGCUCCCUCCUCGGACACGCCCUCCGCACGCGCCGCUCCUCUCGGACACGCCCUCCGCACGCGCCGCUCCUCUCGGACACGCCCUCCGCACGCGCCGCUCCCUCCUCGGACACGCCCUCCGCACGCGCCGCUCCUCUCGGACACGCCCUCCGCACGCGCCGCUCCCUCCUCGGACACGCCCUCCGCACGCGCCGCUCCUCUCGGACACGCCCGCCGCACGCGCCGCUCCCUCCUCGGACACGCCCUCCGCACGCGCCGCUCCCUCCUCGGACACGCCCUCCGCACGCGCCGCUCCCUCCUCUGACACGCCCUCCGCACGCGCCGCUCCCUCCUCGGACACGCCCUCCGCACGCGCCGCUCCUCUCGGACACGCCCUCCGCACGCGCCGCUCCCUCCUCGGACACGCCCUCCGCACGCGCCGCUCCCGCCUCGGACACGCCCUCCGCACGCGCCGCUCCCUCCUCGGACACGCCCUCCGCACGCGCCGCUCCCACCUCGGACACGCCCUCCGCACGCGCCGCUCCUCUCGGACACGCCCUCCGCACGCGCCGCUCCUCUCGGACACGCCCUCCGCACGCGCCGCUCCUCUCGGACACGCCCUCCGCACGCGCCGCUCCCUCCUCGGACACACCCUCCGCACGCGCCGCUCCUCUCGGACACGCCCUCCGCACGCGCCGCUCCCUCCUCGGACACGCCCUCCGCACGCGCCGCUCCUCUCGGAGUCCGGUCUCAGGUGUGGAAGGAAGUCAGCUGCGGCAGCAAACGCGCUUCUCGGCGGAAACGAAGCCCCGGCCGCUGUCCGGUGAGUCUGCCCUGUGCUCUGAACGGCGUGGGAAGGUUCGUGAACGCGGCCCACGCAGCCCCGCGGUUCCUUCCACGGGGCACCCGCCCGUUUCCUUGAAGAAAGUCCGGUCUGAUAGGUGA